CACAAUUGCAGUUGGAUCUAGAUCUUGAAAUUUUUUCACAAAUUCAUUAAUUAACUGAUCUUCAGAAAAAUCAGCAACAAGUCUAUAUGCACUUUCAAAUUUUGCAAGAAAACUAAAUAUAUCCUCCCCUUUGUGUGGUUUUAGUUUUUCCAACAUUUCAGUAUCUGCAAAAUCAUUCCCUGUUGUUAAUUUUAUUAAUUGUGUUAAUCUGUCUUGCUUAUUUCCAUAUAUUAUUUCAUCAUUGUCCUCACAUUUUACAAGCGUGGUCAGCCUACAUGCCAUUUGAGUCGGCAGCCAUAUUUGAAAUAGUCUAUUCCUUUGUUCGUCAUUUAGGCUGUAUUUGUCUAAAUUAGACUCAAACAUUUCAGCAUUAGUAAAUGCAUCCACUGGCGUGUCAUAAACUGGAAUACAUUUCACAAUUUUCAUUAAUUGUUCAUGUAUUUUCAAAUUAAGUUUUGCAGCUCUAUCUUGAAAUUUACAUUUCUGCAAAUCACUCUGUGAGGAUACAUUUUCAGUAUCUUUUGGUUCUGGGAUUAGAUUCUGUGCCUUUAUUUUUCUUGUAUUAACACACACUAGUUUAACUUCAUUUCUAAACUGGCAAAUAAGAUCAUUUCUUAGUUCAACUCUAUCCUCUAAUUCACAGACUUUUUCUGACAAUGUGCUCUCUGUUACAUUGUUACACUGUUCAUUUAAAUCUGAUUUGUCUUCUGUUAACCCAUUCAAAUCUACUUUUUCUGCUGAUUCUAAAUUGUCU